GCAUGUAUAACAGAGAAAACAUAGAUCCAAGGUAUUUAGGGUUGCAUGUACACUUAGGAGUGUUAGAAUGCUCAAAACCCAACAGUGGUAUCAGAGCCUAGGCUUGCUUUCUCUUAUACUUGAUGCAAAUACAUUUUUCGAAGCCAAGAAGCUGUCCAGACAGGAAACUCAACGAGUUUCUUCAAUAAACUCAACGAGUUCAUGGUUUAUUGCAUGAACUCAACGAGUUCUCUAUAGAACUCGAUGAGUUUUGGCCCCUGACAUCUUGUCUUCGUGUUUUUUGGCUAGAAAUGGACUAGGAACAUUACCCUAAGCUAUUAUUGAACUUAUGAACUUGUUUUUGAUGCGGUAAUGUUCAUGCUAAUCCAAUUUCAAAGAUAAUUGUUAAUAGAUUCAUGUUUUGUAUUAGUUUAAAAGCUAUGUUAAUUACAUAAAAAAGUUUGAUUUGAAUUAUCUUGUUCUUAUGAGUUGCUUAGAUUAAUAGAAAAGUUGAGUGAAAUAGUUGUUUUCAAUCCAAAUUAAUCUAAGAGUUGAUUCUAAAAUGUGUUUUUGUAACUUGUCGUCAAGUUAUAUGAAAAGUCACAUUUAAGUUUCAUAAAACUCAUAAAAGUUGGCAAAGGUUACAAAACGAAGAGUCUUGUCUCAUUGAAUGGUUUAUGACUCCAUAACUUAAUGAUCUUAAUGAUCUUAUCUAUUUGCUAAGAUCAACUUCCUAAAACUUUAUGGACAUUAACAAUAAUGACAUUGGAUAUCCAGUAAAGCCUUCUCUUCCCAAUGGAAAGGGAUCGAACACAGUCAAUUCGGUUGACCAAAUGGUAAAGAGAGAGGCUAAGUAUGAGAUAGUCCCAUUAUCAAGGGUCCAUUGCUAAAGGAAGGGGCAUUAGUUGUGAAGCUGCCAUUUUUACCUAAGGAUGUUAAAGUCAAUAAGUUUGACUCUACUUCAGGUAAAGUCCACUAUCUAACUCUGCCAAGUUUCUAUUCUGAGAUUCUUGAUACAUGAUGUGACUGGGUCACAUGGUGAUGUUUUAAGAAUCAAAGAAAAGUGAAGAAACUUAAAGAAAGAAUAUGUUGAAUCUGAUCGCGUAGAUGGAUUUCUAUCGCGUAGUUUGAAGAUCGGAUUCUUGAGCUACUUCUUAGGAGUUAUGAGAUAUUGAUUAGGAAUAGAUAACAACAAAUUUUCAUAUGGAUUGUAAGGAUAAGUUUUUCCGCAAAGUUUUUAAAUAAAAGAAAAAUUUUGAUUUUAUUUAUUUUCAAAUAUCCUUACAAUGGCGUUUGUGGAUAUUUUUUUGUUGCUUAUAAAGAUUCCAUUAAGAGCAAAAAUGGAAAUAUGAAUUUGACUCUUUUCAUUUAUGGUAAUAAAUUUACCAAAUAAGGAAAGAUUCUCAUCAACCAAGUUUCAGCUGGACAGAAACUUGGAAUCAUGCAAGUUGUAUAACAUGAUGGAUGAGAACUUUCAAGCAUUGGAAAAAAUUAAGACUAACUAGUGCACAUGGAUGUGUGAGUCAAGUAAAGGACUAAGAGAUCGAGUACACAUUCUUGUGCACUGAUUAAGUCCACCACAAAGGAUUGAUAAGACUAUUCAUCAUAGUUUACUAAAGCUCAGUAAAUAUGGUUAUACUUACAAGCUUAAGUGUAAUUCUGAGAUGUUGGAAAAGGUUCCAAUGUAAGGCAGAGCGAAUAAGAAGAAUCAACUUAGGCAGAAAGAUAAAAGUUUCUCAAAUCUGAAAAGAUGGGAGUGUACUUUAGUAUCAGUUUUGUGAUCAUCUUAAUGAUUAAGAAACCAUAGCACAAUUAGUUCUCUAAGGAAAUCUUAGUGCACUCUUAUGACUAAGAAGAGGAAUCUUGAAUUGUUGAAGUGGUUAAAUCAAGAACAUGAUUAAUACUUCGUUCCAAAACAAUUCUUAGAUUUAUACUCUAAGAUUGUAACUUGAGUGACAUGUCUUAAAGAAGGUUUAAAACACUUGUCAAUUGUAAGAGUAAAAGUUUUCUACUCUUAUACAUUUUAAAUUUGAUAAGUUGUGAUGUUUUGGAUAAAACAAAGACCAACUUAGGCCAAUUCUGUGAAGUGUUUGUCUUGAUUAAAAUACACACCAUCUCUUCUAUAUCUGACAAGAAAGUCUUAUAUGUCAAGAGGAUAGUGGGAGUCUUAAAGGUCUUGAAAGUCUCAAGAACUAAUCAAGAAUAGAACCUGAAGUUCUUCACUAGCACACGACUUGAGGUUUAUAACCUAUUGUGUUGACAUGAUCUGUGCCCAUUCCAAUUAAAGUUGGCAUUGCAUAUGAGUUCUUAGAGUUCUCAAUUGGUUGCACAACAACAUGGAAGCGACGGAAGGCACCUGAGCUGCCAAAUGGCAAUAAUUUAAGAUUGCACAAGUUUAAUUCAUAUGAGUUUGGAUUUGUCACUAACCUUGUCUUGUGAUUAUGGUUUUGACAAAUUCACAUGGAUAAGAACACAUACAACAUUAAAUCUAAGGGUCAUAAGCUUUCUUUCCGAUUCAUGAAAAUGAUGGUGAGGAAACACUUCCACAAAGUAGAUUUGAAGUAGAUAGCAAUUGUGAUAUUUGCAUUCUCAAAGUCGUUAGUGGAGCUGUGCGGUUAACCGGCACACUAACAUUGUGACAUCCCCAAAAUCUCGGCCAGAAAAGACCGAUUUUCAUUUAUGCUUUUAAAUAUUUUCAGAGUAAAUCCUUUUGAUUUGAAAGAGUUGCGGAAUUUGUUCCCAAAACAAAACAUGAUAAAAUAAUAUUUAUCAAAGCAUUUCAUCAAGAGAUGCAUUUCAUUAUAUAAUCAAAACUCGGGAUGUAAUGUUCCGAUACAGACCAUAAAGCAUAAACGAUAAACAUUACAAGUCAUUCAACAAAUAUAUACAUAUACAGACUUGUAAACAAAACAACAAGAUGAUCCAUCCAUCUUACGCCCUUGUGCCACUUCCUGUAAUACAAAUAAAACUGAGUGGGUCAGGCUUGGGAGCCUGGUGAGCAUAUAGGGUUUUCAACCCACAAUAAAUAAGUUAUAUUUAAUUUCACCAACCAAUCACUAUCCCGAUUACCCAUUCCCGUUAUCCUCACUUUACGUCCCUAAAACAACUAUCUCAAGGGACCUAAUCUAGGAUUUUCAUCGGGACGGACAUCACUGCGAAGGGGUUUCCUCAACAAUAGAUAUCCUAAAGGCAACCAUGAGGGGGAUAGAGUACACCGGUGAACACAUCGUUCACAACACCUACAGGUUAUGAACCUGCUAGCGUUCCACUGGACUGUCUAGAAAGAGUCCGUGGUCGUUAUCCAUACUCCGCUGAAUAACUAGAUCAACAACAACAACAACAUCGAGGCCUCUCAUCUGUUUAUUACACACCAACUAUCUACCCAUGUUCUACCCAACAUAUUAGUAGAUAAAAAUAUACAUUUGUAUACAUAGUUUAAAGAAAACCUGUAUAGCAUGCUUUAAUCAACACAUAUAUCACAUAACAGAUGAGGCACACACACACAUAACACAUAUCUCAUAAAGAAAUAAGCAGAUCUAUAAGAUAGAAGAGAGUGAAUACUCAUUCACACAUAACACAACCAAAUAUAUACACAUAGCACGUAUUUUUAUAUAAAAUACUUCGUAUUAUUGUAUUAGAAGAAAUAACUACACACUCACUUGAUCAGAAGAUGAUCGGACAGCACUACGGCUUAUAGAAGUAGUAAUCCACAGCAGAUCUGGAAGAUCUUCUCGAAAAUCGAACUUCUCGCGGGCAGAGCUUCGACUCGGGAACCGCACUUUUCGGGAUCUUCAGGAUCUCGGGACUUGCCUCGGGGCUAGAGUAUGAUACCGGGACUUCGGGGUAGCUUCGGGGGUUUUUGCACAGAGCUUCGACACGAAAACGAGAGGGAAUUGGCAAAAAUACCCGGAACCCUCGCAUCCUAUUUAUAGGAGGCUGGAGCCUCGGAGUACGCGGGGCGUACUGCGUUACGCGGGGCGUACUGCCCAAAACGUCAUUGCUUACGUAUCCGAAGUGCUCGAGUGCGAGUGUCGACAUCCCUCGGAGUACGCGGGGCGUACUCGAGUACGCGGGGCGUACCUCGGAUCAGAUCGGUGACUCCUUCGGAUAAUGCUUCCGAAUUUUGAAUUAAAAAUAAAUACAAAAUGAUUAAUAAACUUCGGAAAUUCAUAACUUCUUCAUACGAACUCCGUUUUCGACGUUCUUUAUAUCCACGCGAAGGUGAGACCACGCUCUACGACUUUCGUUUAGACUCCGUCGGCUAAUUUUGACUUUAUUUUUAUUAAUUAUUUUUAAUAGGCCGGGACAGAAACUUUCGUUAUAAAUUCAUAACUUCUUCGUUUGACGUCCGUUCUCGCCUAACUUUUUAUCGUUUCAAUACCAACAAUGAGAUCUUCGAUUCUCAUUUAGAUUGCUUCGGCUAACAACCGCUCGAUCUCAAAUCGAGUAAAACAGGCUGUAUAUCGCUAAGCCGGAACUUCGAUAAAUCAUAACUUCCUCAUACGAAGUCAGAUUUGGGCGUUCUAUAUAUAUUCGGAAACCUCGUUUCAACUACUACAACAUUAACCAAAGAUAUUAAGUUUAUUUUACACUUAAAUUUUGACGCUUAUUUUUAUUCUUAAUUAAUCAAACCACAUAAUUAAGCAAUUAAGCACAAAACACAUAAUACUCAAAUAAUACAAUCUUAUUAUUUCAAAACGGGUUACAAAGGUUAACCUAGACUAUUACAUUGCUAAAAAUGGCAAGCCCGGAAACACAGGCGUUACAAUUCUCUCCACCUUAGAAUGAUUCCGUCCCCGGAAUCACACAUCAACAAACAAAUGCGGAUAGCGACUCAACAUGUCACUCUCCGUCUCCCAGGUGAGAUUCGGCCCAUUCGUGUGUUUCCAUCGGACAAGCACUAACCCAACCAUUUUGCGUCGCAACUUCUUAGUCUUUCGGUCAACAAUUGCCUCUGGUUCUUCAAUCAACCUUUUGUUCUCAUCAAUUCUCAAUUCAGAAAUUGGAAUUAUAUCGGGAACUUCUCCCGUGAACUUCCUCAAAUAACACACAUGAAAGGUGUUGUGAAUUCCAUUCAGUUCUUCGGGUAAUUCGAGCUUGUAAGCUUGAUUCCCAAUCCUCUGAAGGACUUUAAACGGUCCAAUAAACCUUGGACUCAACUUUCCCCUUUUACCAAAUCUUAUAAGUCCCUUCCACGGCGAGACUUUAAGCAAAACCGAAUCUCCAACCUCAAAAGUCAUCGGUCUUCGCUUCUUGUCAGCAUAGCUCUUUUGACGAUCUUGAGCUGCUAACAUUCUUUCCCUAAUUAUUUUCAACUUUUCAGCAGUUUGAUGAACCAUCUCCGGUCCCAUAAACUGCUUUUCCCCAGCCUCAAGCCAACAAGACGGCGUACGACACUUCUGUCCAUACAAAGCUUGAUAAGGUGCCAUCUUAAUGCUCGAGUGAAAACUAUUAUUAUAGGAAAAUUCUACCAACGGUAAAUGUUCAUCCCAAUUACCUAGGAAUUCCAAGGUACAUGCUCUCAGCAUAUCUUCAAGUGUUUGUAUUGUUCUUUCACUCUGACCAUCAGUCUGCGGAUGGUAAGCUGUGCUUAAACAUAACUUGGUACCCAUUUCCUCUUGUAGACUUUUCCAAAACCUUGAGGUGAAACGGCUAUCACGAUCCGAUACAAUCGUUAACGGAACACCGUGAAGCCUCACAAUUUCCUUCACGUAAGAAUUCGCAAGCUUUUCCAUAGACCAUUUCUCCCUGGCCGCUAUGAAAUGCGCACUCUUAGUGAAUCGAUCAACGACCACCCAAAUCAUGUCGUGACCAUUCUUUGUUCUGGGCAGUUUAGUGACAAAAUCCAUAGCAAUGUCUUCCCACUUACCCAUAGGCACAGGCAAUGGUUCUAAACUCCCGUAAGGUUUCUGAUGUUGUGUCUUGACUCUCGCACAAGUCACACACUCGGCCACAUACUUUGCAACAUCAAGCUUCAUCGUCGGCCACCAGUAGUAGGGUUUCAGGUCCCUAUACAUUUUAGUGCUACCCGGAUGAAUUGAGUACAUGGUUUUGUGAGCUUCUUCCAUCAGAAGAUCCCUAAUUCCUCCUGACUUAGGUACCCAAAUACGAUCUUGGAAUACCUUCAGUCCAUGACCGUUAGUACCAAACACCAACGUUUUACCCAAACGUUCCUCCUUUCGGUCAUUUUUCUCAGAAGCUUCCUCUUGAGCUUUCUUUAUACUUUCCACAAUAGUCGAGACAACUUCAAUUCUCAACGCUCUUGGCCUCUUCCUUUCAAGAUUGACUUUCCGACUGAGAGCAUCAGCAACAACAUUAGCUUUACCGGGGUGGUAAAGUAUCUCGCAGUCGUAGUCUUUAAGUAAUUCUAGCCAGCGUCGUUGCCUCAUAUUCAAUUCUUUCUGAUUAAAGAGGUAUUGGAGACUCUUAUGAUCAGUGAAAAGUUUGCACUUCGUGCCAUAGAGGUAAUGCCUCCAUAUUUUCAGAGCGAAAACUACCGCUGCCAACUCCAAAUCAUGAGUCGGGUAAUUCUUUUCAUGCUCUUUCAGCUGUCGAGACGCAUAUGCUAUCACCUUUUCUCUUUGGGUCAAAACACAACCCAAUCCAACACCAGACGCAUCGCUAUAAACAGCGAAGUCUUCAACUCCAUCGGGUAGAGAAAGUAUCGGUGCCUCGCAUAGCUUCUUCUUUAACUUCUCGAAUGCUUCUUUAUGCUUCUCACUCCAAGCAUAAGUAGCUCCUUUGUGGGUCAAAGCUGUUAAUGGAGUAGCAAUCGAAGAAAAGCCUUGGAUAAACCUUCGGUAAUAUCCGGCUAAUCCUAAAAAGCUUCGAAUCUCCGUGGGACUUUUCGGUUGUUCCCACUUCGUCACAGCUUCGAUCUUCGCUGGAUCAACCAUUAUCCCUUCUUGGUUGACCACGUGACCCAAGAAUUGGACCUCACGAAUCCAAAAAUCACAUUUGGAGAACUUCGCAUAAAGCUUCUCCUUCUUCAAAACUUCUAACACUUCUCGCAAGUGUCUGCCAUGCUCCUCCUGGCUUUUCGAGUAGAUCAGAAUGUCGUCUAUGAACACUAUCACGGAUUUAUCAAGGAAAGGAUUACAAACCCUAUUCAUCAAAUCCAUGAACGCUGCUGGAGCAUUGGUUAGUCCAAACGACAUAACCAAGAACUCGUAGUGUCCAUAUCUAGUUCUGAAUGCAGUCUUCUCGAUAUCUUGCUCUCUUACUUUCAGCUGAUGAUAUCCUGACCUAAGAUCGAUCUUCGAGAAAUAGCUCGAACCUUGCAAUUGAUCAAACAGGUCAUCAAUCCUCGGCAACGGAUAUCUAUUCUUUAUUGUUGCCUUGUUCAGCUCUCUGUAAUCGAUGCACAUUCUCAUACUUCCAUCUUUCUUCUUUACAAAUAACACCGGAGCUCCCCAGGGCGAUGAACUAGGUCUAAUGAAACCUUUGUCCAAUAACUCCUGAAGUUGCAUCAUCAGCUCCUUCAUCUCCGUCGGUGCUAAUCGAUAAGGUGCUUUUGCUAUUGGCGUGGUUCCUGGUAACAAGUCUAUUCUGAACUCCACUUGUCUAUCAGGUGGUAAUCCAGGAAGAUCCUCGGGAAAUACUUCCGGAUAAUCACACACCACUGGAAUGCUCUGCAUCACCUUCUUUUCUUUCUUAGCAUCAAUCACGAAUGCUAAAUAUGAUGUACAUCCCUUGGUCAAACACUUUCUGGCUUUCAUUAGAGAAAUGAUUCCAGAAUUCACUCUGCGUUUGUCCCCAUACACCAUAAACGAAUCUUUCCCAGGCGGGUUUACUUUAACUAUCUUCUUCUUGCACAAAAUUUCGGCAUCAUUGGCGCUAAGCCAAUCCAUUCCCAAGACGAUGUCGAAACCAUUUAGUUCGAUAGGCAAUAAUUCCUCGAGAAACUUAUUCCCAUUAAGGUCGAUCAAGACGUUUUUCAUACGAUGGCUAACAGGUACAAACUUGCCACUAGCUACUUCGACUAAUAAAGCAUUAUCUAGUCUAUCAACAGGCAAAGCUAGCUUUCUACCAAACUCAUGCGAAAUAAAGGAGUAGUUGGCUCCAGAAUCAAACAAUAUAUGAGCAGGUAAUUCGUUUACGAGAAAGGUACCUGAAGCGACAUCAGCUUCAUCUUUCGCAGCCUCAAGUGUCAUCUGGAAGGCUCUCGCCUUCGGCUUUGGUGGAAUGUUGGGCCUAGCUGCCUCCUUCUUCUUCGGACAGUCUUUCAAAAUAUGCCCCUCUUCAUUACACCCAAAACACAUCCUUUUGUUGUUCGGACAUUCAUUGGCAAAAUGUCCAACCUUUCCACACUUGUAGCAGGUCACAUCCUCGCUACAUUUCCCAAAGUGCUUUUUCUUACACUUAUCACACCACUUUGCUUCGCCUCCUUUUCCUCCAAACUUUUUCGAAUCAGAUUUCGAAAAUUUGCUCUUCUUACUGGAACCAGAUGUUCCUUCAAACUUCCUUUUCUCACCAACCUCAACCUUGACGGUGGUUCUCCCCUUGAUCAUGUUCUCCACAGACUUGGCAGCCCAGAUAGCUGCCUCUAGAGUAAGUGCCUGACGUACCGGCACCUCGUACUCCCAUGGAAGUCCCUUCGCAUACCGAUCCACCUUUGUCAGCUCGUCUGGAACGAUACGCAAGGCAAACUCCAUCUUAUCGGUGAAGUUAUUGGUGUACUCAUCCACUGACAUGCUACCCUUCGUCAAUGUCAAAAACUUGUUCUCCAACUCCAACAGAUUUUGAGCCGAGCAGAACUUGCGCUUGAACUGCACCAAGAACUCUGCCCAUGACAAUUGCAGUGGCUCAUUAGGGCUUAAGGUCUUCCCUAGAGUGUUCCACCAACGAACGGCUCCACCUCGGAAUUGUCGCACGGCAUAGAUAGUCUGCAACUUGCCUCUACAGCCACAUGUCAUAAAGGCUAACUCCAUUUCGGAGAUCCAAUCCAUAACCCCAAUCGGAUCCUCCUUUCCAUUGAAGGUCGAUGGUUUACAAGUCAAAAAGUCCUUGUACUUGCAUCCCAUUCCAUCAUUCCUUCCAUCAUGGUUAUCUUGCCUAACUAUCGGUGGGUUGGCUGGACCAACAGACCCACUGAAGUUUCCACCUUCCGAGUGCCCUUCAUUCAGUUCAGGCUCUUCCACACGAAUCGACAGUUCUUCACGAUUUUGUUGAAGCAACCGUCUAGUUUCAUCCAUCUGACGAUCCAACAUCGUCUGAAUCAUCAAUUGCACACCAGCCAUGGUUAUUGGCUCAGGUGCUGCUGCUACGACAGGUAUUGGCUCAAUCACUGGUGGUUGAUUCCUGUUUUCGUCAGCAUUUCCAACUCCACUUCUUGUUCUCACCAUUUUGAUCUACACCGAAUAAGGUGAAAUUAGAUCCUCAAUCAUGAUAGAUAUUCAAAUCAUCCUUAUCACUCCGAAACGUUUACAUGCUAGUUCUAAUAUCGUAGACGUACGCUUAGAAUCCUACACACAUAAGGUUUCUAGAUCCGGUCGGCAACAGACCAUAGAUCCGAACAAAUAAUAUCAUAUAUGGCAACAUAUAACAUUUAGCACAUAAAGCAUUUUAGGCAACUUUCCUAAAAUAAACUAGUGCUCGUGUCUAAAUCACAACAGACACACAUCUCAAAACUUCACUUAGCAUUCUAAGUUUAAGUCUAGAAAUCCUACAAAUUCCUAGUUCGCUUAAACUAAUGCUCUGAUACCAACUGUGACAUCCCCAAAAUCUCGGCCAGAAAAGACCGAUUUUCAUUUAUGCUUUUAAAUAUUUUCAGAGUAAAUCCUUUUGAUUUGAAAGAGUUGCGGAAUUUGUUCCCAAAAACAAAACAUGAUAAAACAUUGUUUACCGAAGCAUUUCAUAAAAGAAAUGUAUUUUCAUUAUAAUCAAAACUCGGGGUGUCAUGUUCCGAUACAGACCAAUAAGCAUAAACGAAUACAUUACAAGUCAUAUAACAAAUAUAAACAUAUGCAGACUUGUAAACAAAACAACUUGAUGGUUCAUCCAUCUCAUGCCCUUCCGCCACUACCUGUAAUACAAUUUAAAACUGAGUGGGUCAGGCUUGGGAGCCUGGUGAGCAUAUAGGGUUUUCAACCCACAAUAAAUAUCAUAUUUAAUUUUCACCAACCAACAAUAACCCAAUUACCCAUUCCCGUUAUUCUCACUUUAAUGUCCCUAAAACAACUAACAUAAGGGACCUAGUCUAAGAAUAUUUCAUCGGGGCGACAACACAUGCUUCGGGGGUACCUCAGCAAUAUAAGUCAAAUAAGGCAACCAUGAGGGGGAUGGAGUACAGCGAAUGAACACCCAAGUUCAUUAACACCUACAGGUGGCGAACCUGCUAAUGUUUCCACAAGACUGUCUAGAAUAGCCAGUGGUCGUCAUCUAAACUCCGCUAGAUGACUCAAUCAAACAACAACGAGGCCUCUCAUCUGUUUAUUACACACCAACUGUCUACCCAUGUUCUACCCAACAUAUUAGUAGAUAAAAAUAUACAUUUGUAUACAUAGUUUAAAGAAAACCUGUAUAGCAUGCUUUAAUCAACACAUAUAUCACAUAACAGAUGAGGCACACACACACAUAACACAUAUCUCAUAAAGAAAUAAGCAGAUCUAUAAGAUAGAAGAGAGUGAAUACUCAUUCACACAUAACACAACCAAAUAUAUACACAUAGCACGUAUUUUUAUAUAAAAUACUUCGUAUUAUUGUAUUAGAAGAAAUAACUACACACUCACUUGAUCAGAAGAUGAUCGGACAGCACUACGGCUUAUAGAAGUAGUAAUCCACAGCAGAUCUGGAAGAUCUCCUCGAAAAUCGAACUUCUCGCGGGCAGAGCUUCGACUCGGGAACCGCGCUUCUCGGGAUCUUCGGGAUCUCGGGACUUGCCUCGGGGCUAGAGUAUGAUACCGGGACUUCGGGAUAGCUUCGGCACGAAAAACGAUGCAAAAGACUAGAGAGAAGAGAAGAAAAUGAACAACAAAGAAGGCUGUCUUCGGAUCCUUUAUAUAGAGGCUGGAGCCUCGGAGUACGCGGGGCGUACAGGCGUACGCAGCGCGUACGCGUCCGAAAUCGUCAUUGCAUGCGUCAUCCGAAGUGUCGACACUAUGCUGAGUACGCGGUAGCGUAACCUCGUACGCGGGGCGUACUCCGGAUCACACCGGUGACUCGGCUUCGGAUAAUGCUUCCGAUUUUGAUUUAAAAAUAAAUACAAAAUGAUUAAUAAACUUCGGAAAUUCAUAACUUCUUCAUACGAACUCCGUUUUCGACGUUCUUUAUAUCCACGCGAAGGUGAGACCACGCUCUACGACUUUCGUUUAGACUCCGUCGGCUAAUUUUGACUUUAUUUUUAUUAAUUAUUUUUAAUAGGCCGGGACAGAAACUUUCGUUAUAAAUUCAUAACUUCUUCGUUUGACGUCCGUUCUCGCCUAACUUUUUAUCGUUUCAAUACCAACAAUGAGAUCUUCGAUUCUCAUUUAGAUUGCUUCGGCUAAAAACCGCUCGAUCUCAAAUCAAGUAUUUCGGGCUGCACACCGCUAAGCCGGAACUUCGAUAAAUCAUAACUUCCUCAUACGAAGUCAGAUUUGGGCGUUCUAUAUAUAUUCGGAAACCUCGUUUCAACUACUACAACAUUAACCAAAGAUAUUAAGUUUAUUUUACACUUAAAUUUUGACGCUUAUUUUUAUUCUUAAUUAAUCAGACCACAUAAUUAAGCAAUUAAGCACAAAACACAUAAUACUCAAAUAAUACAUUCUUAUUAUUUCAAAACGGGUUACAAAGGUUAACCUAGACUAUUAUAUUGCUAAAAACGGCAAGCCCGUAAACACAGGCGUUACAAACAUGGACUUGUGAGAAUUGGCAAAAAGGUCUAAACAAUUGAGACUAUGAUUACAACAUCCCUUUUCAUAGUUCUAAACUUGUUUAGACACACCUGUGAGCUAUCUAAAAGAUGUGUAUAAUUUUGAUAAAGUUUUAUCAAAACAAUCUAGUAUCAAAAAUUUGAACUUUGGUAAGAGAGUCAGCUAAUUUCUGAGUACAUGUCAAAGCUAGUGGGAGCAUAAGUGUUAUGCUAAUAAUCAUCAUGUUAGUGGGAGCAUGAUAAUUAUGAUAAGUAUUGCAAGUUAGCAAUGUUAAUUAUAGAAAACAAAAGGUUUCAAUUGGGAAAAAGUUGUUUUGCUAUAAUUAAGGGAGAGGAAAUUAUACUUCAUCUCAAAUCAAUAAGCUUAGAUUGUGAGGUUUUAAUCAUUUAGUCAGGGAUAUACAUGAAUUUCAUGUUGGAAUGGCUCAACAUAAGGAAAUUCUGUAUAUGGGUCCAUUAUUUGCAUUCUAAAAUUUGAUUAUGAUUACGGCAUCCCUUUUCAUAAUCUGAAUUAUGAGAACUUGGCAAAUUGAAAUGGACAUAUUAUAGCAAAAGACUGGUUUAGUCUUUAUGUGAGACAUCAUGAAUCGUGUCCCAUAUGCUUCGGAUAUAGGAUCGAUUACAUGUGCUAUAUUCAUCCUUUCUAAAAUUUUCCAAAUGCCUGGGGCAUUAAGAAGGGAAAAGGUUUAGAACUGGAUAUGACUAAAAGGAUUAAACAAUUGUCGAGGACAAUCUAAGGUUUACCGAAGAUUGGUUGCUCAGGGACAGUUGAAAGUAUAGUGAUAAUUCUAGAAGGACCAUAUUGGCAUAAUUUGUAAGGAGGCAACUCUAGUUCAGAAGUGAUAGUCAAAAUGGAAUCUACAAAUGUUUCAAAGUUAGAGAUUAUUCAAUCUGUGUAAGAUUAGGAAACUUAAUGCAAGAAGGAUGUUUCCAAGGAGCUGAUCUCCUUUGGAAUGCUCUGUAAUGGUUGUUGUCAAGUCUUUCCGACUUUGUGCAUAAUCAUUACAAGAGGAUCAAUGCAUAUAAGUUUAGAAUCUAAGAUAUUUCAGUAAAUGGCAUGAAUUUGGAAUUCUUGCAUUUGAAGUAAGGAUUUAGGACUGUGAAAAUAGGAUCAUUGGAGUUAUGUUCAGUUGAUCUAAUUCACAAAGUAAAGAUCAUAGACAAACAUAGUAUGCAUACUUGCUUUAUGGCAUGACUAGUGUUUAGAAAACAUAGUGUACAUGCUUGGAGCAUGGGACAACUAUUGUUUUAAUUCAAGAAUAAAGUUGAUAGGCUGAAACAGUAUACAAUGAAUAAUGUGUAAUCAUAUGGUGAUAAAUAAAAGGUGUUUUAUUUAUGUUCAUAGGUUUUGAUACCAUAUUGGAUUCAAUUAUUAUUGUGUUUCACUUUGCAUGUUUUGACUUCCAGAAUAACUAGAUCGUUCUUCCUGAUUGACUAAGUUAUUCAAACCAUCCACAGUCGGUCAUAUGUUGGAAGUAGAUAUGAAACAAGAUUGUCAUGGGUUGGCUUGUAGACGUCUAAAAUGUUGGACAAGGUGGUGCUCAUAAGUUCUGCGUAUCGGAUUCAACCCACGCUCAUUAGAAUCACUUCAUGGAUUUUAUCACGAGUGAUCAUGAGACGGUAAUAUCUUAUAUUCUUCAAACCUAGAGAUAUGAGUUGUUACUAUGAGUUAGUUGUACAUUGAUUGCACAAAAAUGCAUUGGUAACUCGAUGUUAUUAAACGUUCCUUUGUGUAUGAUUCAAAAAGUAGUAGAACAAGCCAUAUGAGUCGAAGUUUAUCCAUUCCUUUUACCUUCGGGAUAAAAGCGAUAUAUGUGGGCCCCUCGAUGAUUUGAUGAUGACAAAUGGAAGUACUCGGUCGGGCUAGGACUGAUUUGAUUUGUUCAAUUAGUCAGUCGUCAUAAAUCAGAAAUCAGGAAACAACAAAUGGACAGAGAGAAUGAUUAUAAUCCAUGUCUCAGUCCAUAUGAUAUCUAGAAUGGAGGAAUAUAUGAUCCCUUAUCUAAUGGACAAGUCAUUGACAAAGGUCAGAGUUCAUCUACAAGGUCAGAGUUCGACAGAAGCUUUUGAGAGCUACGAUUGCCAGUUGGUUCCUGAAGUCAUACGCAAUAAUAGUUUUAGACUUAUCCAAGUGGGAGACUGUUGGAUUAAUGUCUAAGCCCAUAACUAUAAUUAGUAAGACUUGACCCAACUCGGCAUGGUCCAUUUGGGUCGCAUGGCAUCAUGCACUUGGAUAGACUAAAUGAGACAAAUAAGACACUUAUGGUUAUUAACAUAUUAUAAGUUCUAGUAUAUUAAUAAUAAGAAUAAUAAUAUUUAAUUAGUAUUGAUCAAGAAUUAAUUUAGAAUUAAUUAUGUGAUCAAAAGAAGACUAUAUAAAUAUAUGGGUUGAUUGUGAAAAUCAUCCAUAACUUAUAUAGUGUUCCAAAGCUCCAUGGAUAAUCAGGUUGGGUUAAACGCAUAGGAUGCUCCAUGGAGGUUACAUAACCCAUGGGUCAUGGAAAUGAAAGGUCAUGACAAUUACGGUUUACAUGGUGUAACCCUAAUUGUAACACACUAUAUAAGCAUCAUAUUAUUCACCAAAAUUGGCCACUAGUGUGUGUAAAAGAAGGGCUAGCCGAUUUCUUGAGUGUUGGAUUUCUGUCAAGUUAUUCCAAGUGUAUUUGGUGUUGUGUGAAACAUUUGAGGUGUCACACUUGAGGCACUAGGCACUCAAGCUUCAUGAAGACAUUCUACAUCAAAGAGGUAUGUAUUCUGUCUUGUUAUAUUCAUUGUUUUGUAUGCUAGAUUAGGAUAAUACCUUGGAUGUUCAUAUUUGCAUGUAUAAUAGAGAAAACAUAGAGACAAGGUAUUUAUGGUUACGUGUACACUUAGGAGUGUCAGAAUGCUUAAAACCCAACAGAAAGAUGAUAGAUGGAAGUAAAAGUUAUGAGAUUGAUAACGGAGUGGAACUUCUUAAGUUCCUUAAUUAUUGUAUGGAUGUAAUUCUUAUUUGCUUUUUAUGGUUUGUAUGAUUCUUAAUAGUAACACCCAACUUUUAAUUAUAAAUGUUUUUGUGUGGCCAGUGUUUAGUAAAUGAGGGUUAACACCCGUAACGAUUUUGUUUAAGCCAUAAAAUUUUGAAGUUUGAAAAAGUUCUAAAAAUUUGGGGUGUUACAUGUAUGGUAGAUAUGUGAUUAUUAUACUGGUGGCCAUCUCGGUAAAGUGGUGGCCGACCUAUAUAGUAUGUAUUGGGCUUGAUUGUUUGCUUUUGGUCUAUCCCAACCUGCUUUAGGUGUGGGUGUAACCCAUACCCCGGUAAUCCCCCCAUCCUAAUUGUUAAAAAUGGUUACCAAGCCAUUUUUUUAUAUUUGUGCUUAAAUAUAUGCAUGCUAAUGUAGAGUAUUCGAAAGAUCGGUAGUUGUUGUAGGUGCCUUGGAAAUUGUAGCAAUUUGCGUUUGAUUGUUUUCUGGCAGCAGUCAUCUUUCCUACUGUUCUUCUUUUAUAAAUUCAUUGUUACAUUAAUCACUAUCUUACUCAUCGAUUUUAUUCUCUGCUAUUUUCCCUCAUCUCCUUUCUUUUUGGUAUUGCUCCGUUCUUGUUGGGUUCACCAUGUAUCGUCUAGUAAUGCCUCAUUUCCAUUCUACUAUUACGUACGAGUGCCUGGAUCAAGUUUCUGUGAAUUGUCAUCUGGUUAAGGAAGACAAUGUUGUCCUUCCUAACUCUUCUACGCUUAUCGAUCAUCCCCCACUGGGUAAAAUAUUUUUCUAUCUUUAUUACUUCGAGGCUGGACUUUUUGUGCCUCCUCUAUCCUUCUUUGGUCAAAUUAUGGUAGCAUAUAAAAUUCAUAUUUGUUAAUUAAAGCCGAACUAUAUCUCAAAAUCAUUUGUUUUGAGAUAUUUCUCAUACUGUCAUCGUGGUUUCUACUGUUUCCCUCUUCCAAUAUUUCUUUCAGAUUUGUAGCAAUGGUGGUUGGUAUUAUUUUCGUUCUCGUAAGCGUAGUGUUAUUGAAGUUCUUCCUGAGUCCAUUAAAAAUGGAAAUCAGAGUUUGUUUGGCUUAAUGCUUGUCAUUUCUCCUUCCGCAAUGUGUUUCAUCUUUCUGGUACUAUCAAUGACCAGAAGCCCAACAGGACUCCUCAUUUGGGGUAGCAUAUUGAUAAAAUAUCUCAUUUUAAUGUUAAGAUGAAAAUGGUUCUAGAGGCUGUAUUGGGACAUGAUGGGAUGAGUCCCUACCGGGUACGUGUGGGUGUGCAACCAAACUUAUUUGUUCUAUGGUCACGUAUAUAUAUUUAUACACAUUGCUUGUUAUAUGUUAUAUUGGCAUAUUUUCAUUUUUUUCCUUUUCUUUGUAGAUGGUCAAUGGCUACCUUUAUCCUAUCUGAUUUUGUGGAGGGGAAAAUUAUAGCCCAAGAUUUGGGUUUUGACAAUUUUGAUUUGCUGAUAUAUGAUAAUAUCCUGAAUGAUACUAGAAGUGAAAGUAGUAAUUAUGGUGACCAUAACAGUGAUGAUGAUGCAACUGAAUCUUCCAUUAAGGUGUGUGAUUCUUAUGAUGAUAAUGAUGGAAAUAAUCCGACUAUUACGAUUUUCAUUGACCUUCGUGCAUGAUGAUGAAGGUGGGAGUAAUAAUGAGGAAGGUGAAACAUUUAUUCGCCGAAAAAGAGAUUGUGAAUCGGCUGCUACUCUUACACUUGUUGUCGUUUAUCUGGUGGGGAAGGUUGUAGUGGGGGUAGGGUUAUCAAGAGGUCUGCAUCUUUAGACACAGGAACCUUCCAAUCUUUUGCUCAAAACUUGGGGAUUAAUCAUCCUCCUACAAAGAUUCGUCAGUUGGAUGAUGGUAGUCCUUCUCAUGAUGCGAAUAAUCAUCAUCCUUCUGGUCUCAUAUAUGUCCUUGCCCGGGAGUAUAGACGAUAUCAAAAUUUAUGAGAUCCCGAAGCUGCAAUGUCCUUUUUUGAAAACUUUGCUUCACCUGGUAGUUGUACCAGUGUUUGGAAAGGUUUGAGAGAACAUAUUCGAGAUAUGUUUAAAAUCAACCUUGUGGAAAACAUGCUUUUUGGGCUUGGAUGUAAAUGAAUCACUCCAUCGAGAUAAUUUUGAGUUUCAUGAUGAAUUUAAGAGAGUUUCUAAUUUGAUAAAACCCUUUGUGAUGUUGUCGGGUAGUGUUUCUCAUAAUUUACGCUUAUUUCGCGACAAGUAUGUGUAUCUUGUGGAGAAAAUUGGUGAGUUGGAGCGGCCAUCUGCCAGCAUGGAAUGGUCCUAGAGGCAGAUUUGGAUGUUGCUUGGAGUGAGUUGGAGUCUGCUCGAAAUGAGAAAGUUGUGCUUGAGAGUUAGGUAGUAGGUUAUCUGUAAUUAGAAGAGGAGGCUGCUAUACUAAAAGGUACCCUUAAGUUCACAUGCAACCUAAAGGAUCAAUGUUUUUCACUAUUGAACCUAUAACUAUGAACAUCAAAUAGGAUACCCUAAGAACCCUAGGAAAUUUUCGAAGAAUAUAAAUUAGGGUUUAGGAUUACAUACCUUGAUUGUUAUUGUAGCAAAUACAAAUGCUUUUCAAAAGUAGAUCUCUUGGGAGCAAGCACCACAAGUGUCGUGCCUCUAAUGGAAUGAUACGUGUGAAAUAUAGUAGUUUUAAUCCUAGCUAACUUAGACAAAAACCAACACAAAAUAGGCAGUGUACCUAAUUGAAUAGUAGUUUAAUGCAGGUAAAUAUGGUAUCAAACACACGAACAGUAAAAACAAUUAAAAAUACUACUAAUGUUAACUAAUUUAAACAAUGAUUAAAGAGGAGUUUUCUCUAGUUUUACAAGACUAGAAAGUUAGACAAUCACUUAAACACUUAGCAAACAAACAAUUAACGACUAAUUGAAGAACAAAAGACGAUAGAAUCAAGAAUAUUAAAGAGACUCCCAUUUAGGUACGAUUCACUUACUCAUAUGGUUGAUUUCGUGGAAAGUGCAAUGGAUUAAUGUGUCAUCAAUUACCGAUUUCUAAUGUGAUUGGGUUCAUGUUCACUAUUACUAAGCCUUUAGCAAACAAAUCAAUUCAAACAGUGAUUAGUUGAUUAAAUUAAAAAGUUUACUAGUAUUAAAUUCGAAUCAUGCAAGACUUGUAAUGAUGAUUAAUUUAAUUGGUUGGUUAAAUUAAUUCAUAUAUGGUUGGUCAUCGUAUAGAGCUCACACAUGAAUUUACUUAGGUGCUAUUUGUUUUUCUGAAGCAAAAAUCCAUAAAGUCCGCGUACCACCUCUACAACCCUCUGCAGUAGAAUAGGUUGACUAAACAGUUGCAGACUGUAAUAAGAAGCGUGUUUGUUUUUUUAACAUUUGCAUGCUGCUGCAAAUAUUAAAAAAUUAAAAUAAACCGAUUUUAUAAUCCAAAAAUAGUUUUUUAAUACUGAAAAUUUAAUACUGUAUGACAUUUCGGCAAGAAUUUAUGAUAUUUCAACAAAAAAUAAUGAUAUUUUAGCAUAAAAUAAUGAUAUUUCAUCAACAAAUUAUUAUUAUUCAAUAUAAAAAAAGAAAAAAAACAUUUCAACAAGAAUAAACAAAAAGAAUCUGAAAUAAGAUUUCACUAAUAUAUAAUCAAUAUUUUUGCUAAAAAAUAAAAAGAGGUUGGAAGAGGUAGGAAGAGGCAAAACAAGUGUUGCGCCAAGAAAAACACGCGCAGAGGUUUUUUAAUUUAAAGACUUCUGAAAAACAAACAGCUGCAAGAUUAAAAGUGUUGCGUGUGUGCUGCGCCGCGCAACAAUAAGAGGUUUGAAGAUGUUUUUUUUCCAAAUAAACAAACGGCACCUUAUUCUCUAGUUAACCCUAGGUUUUGUUCAACACACUAGGCUUACAAUCUUGAUGGUCACAAAAUGAUAAGAGGCAUGUGAGAACAAGGAUCUUAUUGCGCAAAGACAAGGUUUGAAAACUCAAACCUUGAGUUAAUGCUUAAAAUCAAUGUCUGCUACUAAACAAAUGUUCCAGUCAAGUCUGGUAUGACCAAUCAAGACAUGAAGUUAAAGAUUCAACAAAGUAUUCAAUUCAUGAAUAAAGUAAUAAGUUAAUGAUCAAAGUAAAGAAGAUAAAUGAAUAAGAAGAAUGUCAGAAAGAUGUGAUUUGAAAGAAGGACGUAAAUGAAAUAAAUGUAAAAAUAUCUAUCUUUAGUGAAGCAAUCGGUCUGUUUGAUUUGCCAUUGAAUGCUCCUUAAAUAGGAGAAUAAGUUACAUCGUACUGACCCAAAGACAUACAUUGAACCGGAUAAUAGAGGUACAUCCGACACUAUGCUUAUCUAAGUUGAGAAAAGAUACUAUGUUCUAUGAUAAGUUACAUAAAAAAAAUGACAAAAAAAAUUAAUGUAUACGAACAAACUGAUUUGUAACACUCCAUUUAUUUAUUUAAUAAAUGAAUAAAUUAAUGAACGAAUAGUAGCCCUAAAGUAAAUAGAUAUAUGUCGAAGGUUGCUCUCGACGAGUUAAUUGUCACACUUUAAGAGAUUGGGGGUUAAAAGAGUAACAUAUGGACUUUAUUUGAAAAGAUCUUGAAGAGAGGGGGUUGUUUGGUUAGUAUUAUACUAACUUUGUAAGGAAUUUUAAGGCUGAGGGCUGAAAAGUUAAAUCAUAAAUUUUGGAUGUUAUUUGGAAAGAAUAAUGGAAGGAGGGACCAUUUGUGCGAUUAUGGGAUAGAUCUUAAGGGAACCAAGUAUUUAACUGUUUCAUUGUCUCACAACCCUAACCCUAAGGUGCAGCAGCCACCACCCUCUCAAUCCUCACUUCUGGUAGCCGCCAUCACCAUUGGAACCCUCAUCAGCCACCGGUUGCAUCACCGAGUCCGGCAGCCCGGUUCCGCAUGCUGCCUUGUCGAAAAGCAUUAUCGAACCACCAUCUUACGCCGCCGACAUUGCCUUUUCCUGUGAUGACGAAGUCCGUCGCUGAUGUCGGAGACGUUGGUGUGCCGUUGGAGCCACCAAAGACGGAGGUGGUAACCACGAGCAUCGUCGUCACACGGACCGUGAAUGAGUUGCUUUUCGGUGUACUCUCCUUCUCCACCUUCUUCUGCUGUUGUGUCAUCACUGCCGCCCCAACGGCUGUUCCCUUCCACUGCCGACCUUCGUCAGUUGCACACCAUCAGGUGGAGGUGUGUCCAAGUUAACCUGUCUUGUUGCUACUGAUUAUGUUUUCUCUGUGAGCAUGAAAGCUUAGCCGGAGAUCAAGAGAUAAAACCUACCAUGGCCACCGACCAUGGUGGUUGUUGCCCUGAAACCGUUUUCCGCCACCAUAAGCCACUGUGAGGUGGUGGCUGUGUGAAUAAACCCUUGGAUCAGUGUGUUUUAGAACUUGGUUGCAUAGUAUUUGGCCAGAAAUCGCAAGAGUUGCCACUACCACCACCGUGAGGUGGUGGCUGCCACCUUCUACCACUACCGGCCACCAUAGGGUGGCUGUGUGUGUGUGUUUAUGUUGUUUAGUGUGUGUGUGUGUGUGUGUUUAUUUUGAGUUUCAGCAUUGUAAAGUGUAAAUUAGAAUUUGGAUAAUGGAAAGAAACCCUUACCACCACUGUGGGGUGGUGGCUGCCGCAUCCUGCCGCCACCGACCGCCGUGUCAGGUGGUGGUGUGCUAACCUCGUUGAGUUGGAUUCGUUUGGGGUGCUUGAAACCCUAAUGGGCCUUGUAAGCCCUAAUGGACCCAAUGAAGCCCUAAUUGACAUUAAAGCCCAACCUUGUGUCUAAUGGGCUUAAUGGACCCUAAUGGAUCUUAGGACUUAGCUAAUGGGCCUAUUGGGCUAAGAUGGCUUGGAAACCCUAAUUAGGGUUUGGAAAACCCUAAUGCCAUGAAACCCUAAUUUGGGAUUAAUCGAGACCCACACUAGAAUCGUUUAUUUAAUUAAAAUAUUAAAUAGUAAUCAUUGGCAAAGAUUAAUCUAAGCAAUAUUGGACUUAAUGGAUUAAGUCCGUAGAGGAUUAAGUCCUUAAUGGGUUAAGUGAGAAAUACUUAACCCUAAUCGUCAUUUUAUGUGAAACCCUAAUUUCAUUUGGGUUUAUUGUUGGGCCUCUUUAUUUGGCCUUGAAGAUUGGGUUAUUAAUGGGCCAUCCAAAGUCAAGCAAUUGCAAUAGAAUAAUUUAAUGGGCCUAGGGCAAGGCCCAUGUAAGGGGUUUAGGCCCAAUUUGGAAAAUUAGGCCAUAGAUGGGCUAUAGUUCGGGCCCUUAUGAUUAUAUGAUGUUGGGUGUUAGAAUAAGACCAUGUAAAGGCUUGGGCCUAAUUUGGAAAAUUGGGACAUAUCAUUGGGCUGUGACUCAUAGUUGACUUAUGGGCCUUGGGCUGGAAUAAAGGUAAGUUAGGGGUAAAGUAGUAUUUAACCCUAAGUAUGUAUUUAUGUGUUGGAAACCAAUUAUUAAUUUGGUGAUGUUUUUGUUGGAUUAAUGUCUAACUCCAUAACUAUAAUUGGUAAGACUUGACCCGACCCGACAUGUUCCAUUUGGGUUGCAUGGCAUCAUGCAUUUGGAUAGACUAUAAUGAGAGAAGUAGCACUUAAGGUUUGUUAAUAUAUUAUAAGUUCUAAUAUAUUACUAAGAUUAUUUAAUUAGUAUUGAUCAAGAAUUAAUAUAGGAUUAAUUAAGUGAUCAAAAGAAGACUAAUUAAAUAUAUGGGUUGAUUGUGUAAAUCAUCCAUACUUGUAUAGUGGACUAAGACUCCAUGGAUUAUCAAGUUGGGCUAAAUCCCAUAGGAUUCUCCAUGGAUGCUCCAUGGUAUAUUUGAACCCAUGGAUCCAAGGAUAUGGAAAUCCAUGACAGUUAGGGUUUACCCUAAUUCUGUCACACCCCCAAACCAGAUGGCGGAAACGUCCGAGGGCUCUUGUGACUUAAAUUGAAUACCAUCACAAUGAAUAUACAUGAAUCAUAACAUAAAUCGUCACCAUGCAUUGAAAUGAUACAACUGAUAUUGUUUACAUCCAGUACAUUGUUUUAAACAUUACAAUUUCAUAACAUAAACAGUUUUAUAGAUAUCAUAAGCAAAACACCCUGACAUUAAUUGGUACUUAUUCUCCGGUUUACCUGUUACCUGAGAAUACAAGUUAAUUUUGAAAAACCUCAACAUAUGAAAUGUUGGUGAGUUCAUAAGCAAUGUUGUGGUAAAAUGAUUUGGUGUAGUUUGUAAAACCCAGAAAAUCCGAUAUUUUCUGAAAAGAUCAUUGUUUAUAAAAAGUGUGAAGAUCCGUGAAUAUAUGCUUGUUGAUUUUCAAAACAUGUAUAAUUGUUGAACUUCUGUAAUGAUCGCACAAGUGAAAAUGUUGAACUUCCGAGGAAAACCCGAUGUUUUCCCAUUACAUGAAACACAGUGAAUUCCCAAUUUGUUAGGGUUUGGAUUAAUUAGGGUUUGUGAGUCGUUAUAAUCAUGCCUUUGGAAAUAUCUAGUUUAUAACGACAGGUUUCGAACGAUCCUUAGAGGCGUCGCCUGUCACUACUCACUUAAUCUAACAACCAUGAUUACUUUUGAUUAACGCCCUAAAUCUAUUUACCUUGAUUACUCGUAAGCCUAACAACGAGGAAAAAGGGAGUAUGAAGUCCCGUCUUAUUCCGUGAGUUAAUUAGGCUCUCGGGAAUGUGAAAGGCAAGUUGGCCAACUCAGAUUUGAUUUCUUGACCUCAAUAGCAAUACUAAUGGGCCACUAGGGCCCAAUAGCACAUUAAAGCCAUUGAAAGUCCUUUUACAUGAAAUCGGGUCAUAGGAGGCCCAAUAGCACAUAAGCAUAUUCCCUUUGGGCCCAAAGGUCAUGUUAAUGGGAUAGCAAGGCCCAACAAGAAUGAUUUGAAACUUCCAAGCCCAAAGUUUGUAAGUUUUCUCAUCGUAGUUAUCGCGUAUUUAUUUAGAUGAUUUGGUUUAACGCUUGUUGUUUUGUAUUGAUUCGAGACCAAAUCACUUCGUUUGUAACGACAUUUGUUGUUGAGUGUGUAUUUGUUUUUAGUUUCGUCAAUAGUCGUGGAUCUUGUAUUUUUGUAUUAAUGAAUUAAUUUGUUUAAAAGUGGAGUUUGACCUUUUCACUACCCUUCUUUUAUAAAAAUAACACUUUUGUUCCUUUUAUAUAAACAAAUUUCAUUUUUAGUCCUUAAAACCUUUUCUUGACACUUUUGUAUUAUUUAUUUGAUGAAAACACAAUUUUAACCCAAAAUUUUUUUUGUUGAUAGCUUCAGCCCUUCAAGAAUAGUGUUUCUCGGUUAGAGCCACAUUUUUCACAACUUUUAUAGUUUUGGCCCAAAAUCUAAAAACGUUACAUUUUUGGUCCUUUUUGAUAGUGAAAAGCAUUUUUGACUCAUAAAAUGAUUUUGUCAUGCUAAUUACCCCCUGUACUACAGAAAGUUUCAUUUCAGCCCCUAAAAUUUAUCAUUUUUCGCAUUUUGAGGCUUAUUGGGCUGAAAAGCCCAUAAUUAGCCGAUUAAGCUAUAAAUUUACAUUUUAAGUCCCUUGAAAUUUGUAAUGUUCAGAAAAAUGAUUAUAGAAACUGUUUUCACCCUUUUGACCUUCAAGAAACCGUGACUUGUUGGUUUGUAUUUCAAGUUUUGUAUUUUUGACAAUUUAAGCCCAAAAAUGGGUUUUAUGUUAGAAUAUGUUCAUCAUGACCUUAUAAGUUAUUUUUCUUGACUUGUUUAGUGUAAAAUAGCUUAGAUUAUGUUUGUUUCCCUUCUCAUGUCAUAGAUCUUGGGUUUACCCCCUUUUUGGUAUCAUAUUCAUCACAAAACACAUGAAAUCACACCAUCAAAUCACACAUAGCAUACACAUAAACAUAGAUCUACACAUUUUCUUGUAUUCUCCCAAAUAAAACUCAUGACAACCGAAAAGAAAGGGGUAUGAAGCGCACCUUGAGUUGUGGUUUUGGUUUUGAAGAAGAUUUGGAGAAGUUUAGUGCUAUUUUAGGCCCUAGCAAGUUCCUUGGAUGGAUCUCGAACUUAGUGGGUUCUAAGAUGGAAGAUCAUGAAUUUGAAUGGAUUAAGAGAUGAUUUUUGAUGAAAAGGGGUGAGUUAAAGCAUGGAUCAAACAACAACUUUCCUUGAAUGAUGAUUUUUGUGGAAGAAACUCCUUGAAAAGCUCUAAAUCUCGAAAUUUUGAAGAAUGAGUGCAAGUGUUCUUGAGAGAAUUUGGAAAGAGUUGGAAUGAAUUUUUCUGAGUGUGUGUGCGUGUCUCCUCUCGGCCGAGAAUCAAGAAGAAGAAGAGAGAGAGAGAGAGAGAGUUGAGGUGACUAUCUUAGAUGCAUGUUGGUCCAUGCAUGGAAGUAUGUGGUGUAUUAAUGAGGUGGCAAUCUUAAAAGUCAACUACUCCUCUCCAUUUUGUGUAGUUGGGCCGAGAGAAGGAGAAAAGAAGAAAGAAAAUUAGUUCUUGUGUGCUUAAGCCCACAUUAUGGUUCAAUUAGAUAGCUUUUGGCCCAAGCUAAAUCAAGAAAUGAUUCUUAUGGCCUAUUAGGGCUAGUUAGGUUAGUUAUGGCCCAAUAAGGUCCAUUAAAGUAUUUUAUUUCAUUCUAGGCCCAAUAUGGCGCAUAAUAUUAAAAUAAAUAGAAGUGGGUCCAAUUAGAGCCCAUUUAAGAGUUCUAAGUCCAAAGUAGUCAAAUUGGAAGCUUAUUGGUGCAUUAGGUCCAAUAAGGAAAUCCUAGUCCAAAGGUUUCCAAUUCUUUGUUGACUAUUUGUAGCGCUUGUAUGAAGUGUUUGAUUGAAAUUCUGUUGUUAUUGAAUAAACAUCCUACAUGCUUUCACAUUGUUGGUUCACAUUUGUUAUCAUUGUUAAAUGUUUACAAGGCAUCGAAUUUCCUGGUUGUGACAUUAUCCCCCUGUUAGAGGGAAUUUCGUCCCGAAAUUCUUUUGAAAGCUUGUUUUGAGAAUGCUAGAAUAGAUGAGGGUACUUCUGCUUCAUUUGAUCUUCGUGUUCCCAUGUGAAUUCUGGCCCGCGUUUCGCGUUCCACCGUACCUUCACAAUCAUAAUGCGACUUUGCUUGGUACGCUUCACCUCCCUGUCCAUGAUUUCGAUUGGUUCCUCAACGAACAGGAGAUUCUCAUUGAUUUCAAUUUCGUCAAGGGGAAUGAAAAGAGUUUCACCGGAUAAACACUUCUUUAGGUUGGAAACAUGGAACACGGGGUGUACGUUGCUGAGCUCAGCGGGUAGCUGCCAUUGGGCCAAUUCGGGCAAGAAUUUCGAAAGGUCCAAUGUAUCGUGGAUUUAAUUUUCCCCGUUUUCCAAAACGAAUAACUCCUUUCCAGGGAGAAAAUUUUAACAGCACUCGAUCCUCGACCUGAAACUCCAAGGGCUUUCGCCGUUUAUCAGCGUAGCUCUUCUGUCGGUCGUGUGAUGCUUGUAGUCGAGCUUUGAUUUGAACUAUCUUUUCCGUGGUUUCACGUAUGAUCUCCAGUCCCGUUAACGUCUUUUCUGAUGCCAGUUCUCUCGCUAGCUGGGUGUCGCCUACCUCAGCCCAACACAACAGUGAUCUACACUUACGUCCAUACAGUACCUCGAAAGGAGCAACUUUGAUGCUCGAAUGGUAACUGUUAUUGUAUGAGAAUUCAACUAAGGGUAAGUGGGUAUCCCAAGACUUCCCAAAUUCUAUCACACAUGCGCGAAGCAUGUCUUCAAGCAUCUGAAUGGUUCGUUCUCUUUGACCAUCCGUUUGUGGGUGAUAAGCAGUGCUCAUGUCGAGAUGGGUUCCCAGUGCUUUCUGAAGUGAUUUCCAAAAACGUGAAGUGAAUCUACUAUAUCUAUCUGAGAUGAUAGACACUGGCACUUCGUGAAGUCUCACGACUUCUCGAAUAUAUAUUCUUUUCAAUCUCUCCAUCUUGUAGGAUUCUUUUAUUGGCAGGAAAUGAGUGGAUUUUGUCAGUCUGUCAACUAUUACCCAUAUAGUGUCCAAUCCAUCUGACGACUUGGGUAGCUUGGUCACAAAAUCCAUAGUAAUCCUUUCCCAUUUCCACUCGGGAAUUACUGGUUGCUGUAAUAACCCUGAGGGCUUCUGGUAUUCCACCUUUACUUUGGCGCAAGUAAGGCAUUUUCUAACAUAGGUGGCAAUCUCUGCCUUCAUGUUAGGCCACCAGUAAUGUUGUUUAAUGUCCAAGUACUUUUUGUCCGAACCCGGAUGGAUGGAGUAUCGCAUCUUGUGAGCUUCAUUCAUGACUACCUCCCUAAAUCCUCCAAGUUUAGGGACCCAAAUACGGUUCAUGAAAUAAUAUAAUCUGCCCUCUUUCGCCUCGAGAUUUUUCUCUAUUCCGCGUAACGCUUCACUUGUUUUGUUUUCCGCCUUCAUGGCAUCUGACUGGGCUGCCCUGAUCUGAGUGGUUAGGUGAGAUUGGAUGGUUAUUGAGAGAGUUUUCACAUGACGAUUAGAGUACUCUUUCCGACUCAAGGCAUCAGCUACCACGUUAGCCUUGCCCGGGUGGUACUUGAUUUCACACUCAUAAUCGUUUAAUAGUUCAACCCAUCUUCGUUGCCUCAUAUUCAGCUCUUUUUGAUUCAAGAUGUGUUGGAGACUCUUGUGGUCCGUGAAGAUGGUGCACAUCGUACCAUAAAGUUAGUGCCUCCAAAUCUUUAGGGCGAAGACCACUACUCUUAAUUCCAGAUCAUGGGUUGUAUAGUUCACUUCGUGUGUCUUUAGUUACCGGGACGCGUAAGCUAUCAUCUUUCCGCGCUGCAUGAGAACACAACCUAAACCCUAAUUUGACGCGUCAUAGUAGACUACGAAAUCUUCCGUUCCCUCUAGUAGUGAUAGUACCGGGGCACUGCAGAGUGCUUGCUUCAGAGUUCGGAAUGCAGCUUCUUGUUUGUCCUUGCAUUUGAAUUGUACGCCAUUUUGUGUAAGCGAGGUAAGAAGCUUGGCGAUCUUAGAGAAGUUUUGAAUGAACCUCCUGUAGUAACCUGCAAGACCUAAGAAUUGGCGAAUUUCUGUGGGUGUUGUUGGGACUGCCCAUCCUUCGAUGGCUUUGACCUUAGAAGGAUCCACAUGUAUUCCUUCCUGACUAACAACAUGACCCAAAAAGUUCACGUUACAGAGCCAAAACUCACACUUGGAGAGUUUUGCGUAUAGCUUCUCAGUUCGCAAGGUUUCCAGGAUUUGUCGGAGAUGUUGGCCAUGCUCUUCUUCACUUCGAGAAUAAACUAGAAUGUCGUCAAUGAAAACAAUAACAAAGUUGUCGAGGAAUGGUCGGCAGAUUAGAUUCAUUAGGUCCAUGAAUGUGGCAGGGGCAUUCGUUAGACCGAAGGCCAUUACGACAAAUUCAUAAUGUCUGUAAUGAGUUCGGAAAGUGGAUUUGGGAAUAUCCUCUUCCCGGACCUUGAGUUGAUGGUACCCAGAUCGCAAAUCUAUCUUAGAGAAGUAACUAACUCCUUGGAGCUGGUCAAAUAGAUCGUCAAUUCGUGGGAGUGGAUAGCGAUUUUUGACAGUGAGCUUAUUCAGUUCUCUGUAAUCGAUACACAUCCUAAAAGAUCCAUCCUUCUUCUUGAUAAAGAGGAAUAGAGCUCCCCAUGGUGAGAAGCUGGGUCGGAUGAAUCCCCUGUCCAGGAGUUCACUGAGUUGGCUGGACAAUUCCUGCAUCUCAGCAGGAGCCAAUCGCUAAGGCGAUUUAGCGAUGGGAGUAGCUCCUAGCCCAAGAUCAAUUCGAAAUUCAACUUGUCUUUCUGGGGGUACUCCAGCAAGAUCUUCAGGAAAUUUGUCUGGGAAUUCACAUGCUAUAGGAAUGUCUUGAACGUUAAUCUCUUCAUUGGAUUUAUCUACUAUGUGCGCCAGGAACGUCAAAUCUUUCUUUCGCAGAUACUCCUAUGCCUGGACGCACGAGAUGAGACGAAGAUUCGUGCUGGGUUUGUCCUCGUAAAUAAUUAGGGUUUCAUGAUUUGGAAGGUGAAGGCGAAUGACCUUCUCGUGACACAUAAUUUCCGCAUGGUGGGGGCUUAACCAAUCCAUGCCAAUAAUCACAUCAAAACUCCUAAUGGAAAUAGGCAUUAAGUUUAUUCGAAAGACGUGUUGAUUUAGGGUUAGGGUACAUCCGAUAUAGAUUUCCCUAGUGGAUUCUGUUUUCCCCUUUGGUAAUUUCCACCCUAAAGGUUUCAUUGAGCUUCUUGGGUUUUUGUUUUAACAAAUGCUUAAACUUAUUGCUCACAAAACUUCGUUCUGCUCCGUAUCAAAUAGGAUGCAUGCAUAAGUGUGGUUUAGGAGGAACGUACCAGUAACAAUAGCGGGAUCUCGAACCGCUUUUCCCUGACCCAUGUUUAGCACCCUUCCUGUUCCUUCAUUUCCUGGAUUGUUGUUGUUGGGGCAGUUUUGAUGGAAAUGCCCAGUCCUUCCACAUCCAUAGCAGGUUUGGCUUGGUCCUGCAUUGUUGCUGCCAUUGUCGGUGUUGUUGUUGUUGUGGUUAUUGUUGUUGUUGUUUCCUUGUUGUUGGUUCUGAGGAGGGUAGGUCUUGUAAUACUCCGUCGUGUGCCCCCCUUCCGAUUGCAACUGGUGCACUGCAUCUCUCCGCAUUCUCCAUUGUGAUGGAGACCGCACUUGUUGCACUUAGGAAGAUUACCAGAAUAAGGCCUAGGAGCACUUGGAGCAGCUGAGGCUGGAGCAUGUGGUGUGGGUGGAACUUGAGUGGUUGCAGCAUUAAUUGCCACUGUUUGUUGCUUCUUGGAUGAUUCGGAGCCUUGACGUCCCUUCCUCUUGUUGUUCUUUCCCUUUUUGUUGUCAUUUUGAUUCUUACCUUCAGUCUCCACUGGCUUCUCACCCUUCUUGUUGUUGUGGUCAUACAGCUUCUUGGCCAAUCUCGUGGCACUGUCGAAAGUUUCGGGAUUUGCAGCUAUCACGUUUCCUUGGAUUGGGGAGGUUAGUCCCCAGAUGAAUCGUUCGAUCUUCUUUCCUUUUGAGGUGAUCAUGUCGGGGCAUAGUAGAGACAGUUCGCUAAAUCUUGAUAUGUAUGCAUCUAUAUCAGCGUUCCGGACGGUGAGAUGCCAAAACUCUUGUUCCAUUUUCUGAAUUUCGCCACGAGGGGAGUACUCGGCCAUCAACAUUUCUUUCAUCUCUGCCCAUGGCAUAGAAUUGGCUACUAGGAGUGUCAUGGCUUCCACGUGUCCAUUCCACCAAGUGAGCGCUUGGUCAACGAAAGUGCAUGCGGCAAACUUCACCUUCAUCUCCUUAGGGCAUUCACAUAUCUCGAACACCGAUUCCACCUUGUCGAUCCAUCGUUUCAGGGUAAUCAUCCCUCUCAUGCUCAGAUCGCACUGCACGUGCUUCCAUGGUGAAUAGUUGUUGACGUAGGGCGGCAAUCUCAGCUUCGGGGGAGCGAUUCUCCCUUGCGGGGUUCACUGGUGGGGCGGGGUGGUCCUGUUGCGCCUCGCUGACAGGUGUUGUGGCGAAUUCCUCCCCCGAGUCUUGUCCUUCCUCCAUGUCAUCAUCGGCCUCAUCGAACUCGUAGUUAGUGUCCGUGUACUCGUCAGGCCCAACAUCUUGUGCUCCCCCUUGAUCUCCUUCAGGCUCAUCUUCAAUCAUCCCAAGAGCCACUAAGAUCUAAUGAAACUAAAUGCCCUGCUGCUCCCCUUCCAUAGCGACUGAGAGGAGGUAUACGAAUAAAAUAUCAUUACUCCUAGGACGCUACAGUUAUUGUAUAGAUUGAGCGGAUGUUCUGUUCUUGUUGAUAAAGGGGUAUGUUUUUAGGUUCCCUAGCCGUCACGAUUUCCUCGGGACAUGUGAUAGUUGUACCUUGGAGGAAAUGUAGUUGAUCAGGCUACAUCCAUUCCUUGAUACGACUAUGAAUAGUCCGGGCUUAACCAUGAUGCUAGUAUUAUCUUCUUUGGUUCGGUAUUAUGUUCUUUUUCCUAAUUCACACAAGAAAGGAUGUUUUAUUGUUAUGUUUUGCUUGUUUUGUUCAGAGUUGUGUUACUCCCUCUUUUGGUUUAUAGUUCCAUAUCAAUGUGUGGUUAGAUAUGCUAGUUCACUAUCAACAGAGCUCUGAUACCAACCUGUCACACCCCGAACCAGACGACGGAAAUGUCUGAGGGCUCUUGUGACUUAAAUUGAAUACCAUCUUAAUGAAUAUACAUGAAUCAUAACAUAAAUCAUCACCAUGCAUUGAAAUGAUACAACUGAUAUUGUUUACAUCCUUUACAUUGUUUUAAACAUUACAAUUUCAUAGCAUAAACUGUUUUAUAGAUAUCAUAAGCAAAACACCCUAACAUUACUUGGUACUUAUUCUCCGGUUUACCUAUUACCUGAGAAUACAAGUUAAUUUUGAAAAACGUCAACAUAUGAAAUGUUGGUGAGUUCAUAAGCAAUAUUGUGGUAAAAUGAUUUGGUGUAGUUUGUAAAACCCAUAAAAUCCGAUAUUUUCUGAAAAGAUCAUUGUUUAAAAAAAGUGUGAAGAUCCGUGAAUAUAUGCUUGUUGAUUUUAAAAACAUGUAUAAUUUUUGAACUUCUGUAAUGAUCGCACAAGUGAAAUUGUUGAACUUCCCAGGAAAACCUGAUGUUUUCCCAUUACAUGAAACACAGUCAAUUCCCAAUUUGUUAUACCGUCACGACGAAUGAUUUUUGAUUUCUUGGGUGGCUUUGGAUUAAUUAGGGUUUGUGAGUCGUUAUAUGCAUGCCUUUGGAAAUGUCUAGUUUACAACUACAAGUGUCGAAUGAUCCUUAGAGGCGUCGUCCGUCACUACUCACUUAAUCCAACAACCAUGAUUACUUUUGAUUAACGCCCUGAAUCUGUUUACCUUGAUUACUCGUAAGCCUAACAAACGAGGAAAAAGGGAGUAUGAAGUCCCGUCUUAUUCCGUGAGUUAAUUAGGCUAUUGGGAAUGCGAAAGGUACGUUGGCCAACUCGCAUUUGAUUUCUUGACCUCAAUAGCAAUACUAAUGGGCCACUAGGGCCCAAUAGCACAUUAAAGCCAUUGAAAGUCCUUUUACAUGAAAUCAGGUCAUAGGUGUUGGAUUAAUGUCUAAGUCCAUAACUAUAAUUGGUAAGACUUGACCCGACCCGGCAUGGUCCAUUUGGGUUGCAUGACAUCAUGCACUUGGAUAGACCAUAAUGAGAGAAAUAAGACACUUAUGGUUAUUAAUAUAUUAUAAGUUCUAGUAUAUCAAUAAUAAGAAUAAUAAGAUUAUUUAAUUAGUAUUGAUCAAGAAUUAAUCUAGGAUUAAUUAAGUGAUCAAAAGAAGACUAAUUAAAUAUAUGGGUUGAUUGUGUAAAUCAUCCAUACUUGUAUAGUGGGCUAAUGCUCCAUGGAUAAUCAAGUUGGGCUAAAACCCAUAGGAUGGUCCAUGGAUGCUCCAUGGUGUAUUUGUACCCAUGGAUCCAAGGAAAUGGAAAGCCAUGACAAUUAAGAGUUUACCCUAAUUGUGUAACUAUAUAAGCAUCUUAUUAUUGAGGAAAAAUCGGCCACUAGUAGUAUUCAAGAAAGGGCUAGCCGAUUUUGGUGAGUGUAGAAUUCUCUCAAGUCAUUCUAAGUGUUUUGAUGAUUGUGAUUCCAUUUGAGGUGUCACACUUGGGGCACUAAGCACUCAAGCUUCAUGAAGACUUUCUACAUCAAGAGGUAUGUAUUCUAUCUUGUUACAUUAUUGUUUUGUAUGCUAGAUUAGGAUAAUACCUUGGAAGUUCUUAUUUGCAUGUAUAAUAGAGAAAACAUAGAUCCAAGGUAUUUAGGGUUGCAUGUACACUUAGGAAGUGUUAGAAUGCUCAAAACCCAACAGUGGUAUCAGAGCCACGGGUUGUUUUCUGUUAUAUUGAUGCAAAUAUUUUAUUUUCAAAGUUGAAAAAAAAAAAAAAAAAAAACAUGAAGUUUGUCAAAUUUUAAGAUAAUUACUUGUUCUUGUGAAAAACUAAUUAUUUGUAAAAUUUGAAUAAUUUGCUUUAUGAGUUGAAUUAGGUCAAAUUUAAUAAAAGAUAAAAUAAUAUGAUUAUUUUAUUAGUUUUAAAAGUUUGAUCUAAAGAGUUUUAUUUUUUGAAACCUCCAUAAGUUAUGGAUAUGAAAAGGUUUUAAAAAAAAAAUUGAUUCAAAGUUUUUUUGGAGUUACAAAAUUUGGUGUUAAUGUUUUAAAGGAUUCCAUAACUUAAGAAUAAGUUAUGGAUCACCAAAAGUUUUUUGUGUUACCUUGUUUUAUGAGUGAAUUUAGAUUAAUGAAUAAAAUUAUGUGAUAGUUGGUUUUAAUCCAAAUUAAUCUAAGAAUUGAUUCUAAAAUGUGUUUUUGUAACUUGUCCUCAAGUUAUAUGAAAAGUCACAUUUAAGAAUCAUAAAACUCAUAAAAAUUGGCAAAGGUUACAAAAAUGAAGAGUCUAGUUCUAAUUAAAUGGU
rnacentral:lncRNA from 1 species